AACCACGAAAAGAGGGUUAAAGAAAAAUUGAACGUAACUAACUGAUGCUGAGGUCACUUGUUAAGGGUCGUGAACUCAGGCAAAUUUCAAAUGACUUUUGCGACAAGGCGCCAACUCGAGACUUGUUGUGUGUGGGCUCGUUUGACAGCACCUGUCAUUACCUUUACAACGACACCUAACACU